AUUGAACGCUGGCGGCAGGCUUAACACAUGCAAGUCGAACGAGUGGCGGACGGGUGAGUAAUGCUUGGGAAUCUAGCUUAUGGAGGGGGAUAACUACGGGAAACUGUAGCUAAUACCGCGUACCAUAGGAUGAGCCCAAGUGGGAUUAUCUAGUAGGUGGGGUAAAGGCUCACCUAGGCGACGAUCUCUAGGUGGUCUGAGAGGAUGAUCAGCCACACUGGGACUGAGACACGGCCCAGACUCCUACGGGAGGCAGCAGUGGGGAAUAUUGCACAAUGGGCGCAAGCCUGAUGCAGCCAGGCCGCGUGUAUGAAGAAGGCCUUAGGGUUGUAAAGUACUUUCAGCGGGGAGGCGUUAACCGAAGAAGAAGCACCGGCUAACUCCGUGCCAGCAGGCGCGGUAAUUG
rnacentral:rRNA from 1 species